rnacentral:rRNA from 1 species
CGUGAACGCUGGCGGCGUGGUAACACAUGCAGUCGAACGGGAAGGCCUCAGCUUGUGUGGGGUACUCGAGUGGCGAACGGGUGAGUAACACGUGGGUGAUCUGCCCUGCCUUUGGGAUAAGCCCGGGAAACUGGGUCUAAUACCGAAUAUGACCACUUCUUGGAUGUUGUGGUGGAAAGCUUUUGCGGUGUGGGAUGAGCCUGCGGCCUAUCAGCUUGUUGGUGGGGUAAUGGCCUACCAAGGCGGCGACGGGUAUCCGGCCUGAGAGGGUGUACGGACACAUUGGGACUGAGAUACGGCCCAGACUCCUACGGGAGGCAGCAGUGGGGAAUAUUGCACAAUGGGCGCAAGCCUGAUGCAGCGACGCCGCGUGGGGGAUGAAGGCCUUCGGGUUGUAAACUCCUUUCGCUAUCGACGAAGCCACUUGUGGUGACGGUAGGUAGAUAAGAAGCACCGGCUAACUACGUGCCAGCAGCCGCGUUAAUAUACUCGUGCCACAGCCCGUAUCUG